AUACGUAUGGUGCAAGCGUUAUCCGGAUUUACUGGGUGUAAAGGGUGCGUAGGUGGUAUGGCAAGUCAGAAGUGAAAACACGGGGCUCAACCCCGUGACUGCUUUUGAAACUGUCAGACUAGAGUACAGGAGAGGAAAGCGGAAUUCCUAGUGUAGCGGUGAAAUGCGUAGAUAUUAGGAGGAACACCAGUGGCGAAGGCGGCUUUCUGGACUGAAACUGACACUGAGGCACGAAAGCGUGGGGAGC
rnacentral:rRNA from 1 species